GCCCGCAUCUAAUUAACAGGAGAUCGAGAUUUUAAAUUGAAAGGUAAAAAUCUUUCCAGCCUAUCAAAGUUUAUCACGCAAGUGAAUUUCAUGAAUUUCUGACUAGUCUUGUACAAAAUCAAUUGCUCUUGAAACAUCAGGAGGCAAAAACCAUUAAGGACUCCAUACAUAUGAGUUGAUGUUGACUGUCGGAUCAUGUUCCAUGCAAAUCUCAAAGCACUCCAAACC
rnacentral:lncRNA from 1 species